rnacentral:lncRNA from 1 species
CCCCAGGGUUUCCAGCCUUGGGCCAGCCCUUCCUUUGAGCCGUUUAAUGGGAAAUAGUGAGGAGCUACCUAAGUGUGUUGAGCAGAGACGGUGUGAUAAAACUGGCUUCAAGCAGAUUUGUGAAGUGGUGAGAAGCUGACAGAUUAAUUAGGAAGCUCUUGAGGUGAACAGGCACCAGACCAUGGAGACCUGAAGCAGAGAGCAGCAUUAGGAAAAAGGAGGGGUCUCUAAAACCAGCUCAGAGAGGUAGCAGGGUUGGCCAGAGUCAGGAAGCGGCCGGACCCCAGCUCCACCAGGUAUGGGCACGCCAACCAUAAAAUGAUAUGUGAGUUCAUUACAACGGAACAGCCCAGGGGUAAAUACAUGAAAGACUGAGUGAGAAUUCUUCAGCAUUUCCAUCCUAUCAAGAGCACACAACAGUGGAAUAAAUCCAUAUAUGCAAACCAGGCAUAGUGUGGCACACACCUUUAAUCCCAGCACUCAGGAAUCGGAGGCAGCUAAAUGCCUAAGGACAAUAAGCGUUUUCCUGUUUGUGUCUAAAGGGUCCAUGGAGACUUUAUCCUGGCAUGGGGAGAAAGGGUGUCGUUAACCCAUUGCCAUCACACAGCAGAUGGUAGUGUCAAGACUAAGCGGGCAG